rnacentral:piRNA from 1 species
UACCAGAACGGUUGGUGCAGACCAGGCA